rnacentral:rRNA from 1 species
UACGUAGGGGGCAAGCGUUGUCCGGAUUUAUUGGGCGUAAAGAGCGUGUAGGCGGCCUUACAGGUCAGCUGUGAAAACUCGAGGCUCAACCUCGAGACGUCGGUUGAAACCGUAUGGCUAGAGUCCGGAAGAGGAGAGUGGAAUCCCGGUGUAGCGGUGAAAUGCGUAGAGAUCGGGAGGAACACCAGUGGCGAAGGCGGCUACCUGGACCAGCACUGACACUGAGGCACGGAAAGCGUGGGGAGCAAACAGG